rnacentral:rRNA from 1 species
UACGGGGGGAGCAAGCGUUGUUCGGAUUUACUGGGCGUAAAGGGCGCGUAGGCGGCGCAACAAGUCACUUGUGAAAACUCCGGGCUUAACCCGGAGCGGCCAAGUGAUACUGUCGUGCUAGAGUGCGGAAGGGGCUACUGGAAUUCUCGGUGUAGCGGUGAAAUGCGUAGAUAUCGAGAGGAACACCUGCGGCGAAGGCGGGUAGCUGGGCCGACACUGACGCUGAGGCGCGAAAGCCAGGGGAGCGAACGGG